AUACUCUGGUUUCUCUUCAUCUCGCAUAAAUCUUUCGCCUUUUACUAAAGAUUUCCGUGGAGAGGAACAGGCACGAGUGUCGAGGAAUUUAUUUUUUUUAUUUUGGCAAGGGA
rnacentral:snRNA from 1 species